AAAUUGAAGAGUUUGAUCAUGGCUCAGAUUGAACGCUGGCGGCAGGCCUAACACAUGCAAGUCGAACGGUAGCACAGAGAGCUUGCUCUCGGGUGACGAGUGGCGGACGGGUGAGUAAUGUCUGGGAAACUGCCUGAUGGAGGGGGAUAACUACUGGAAACGGUAGCUAAUACCGCAUAACGUCGCAAGACCAAAGUGGGGGACCUUCGGGCCUCAUGCCAUCAGAUGUGCCCAGAUGGGAUUAGCUUGUUGGUGAGGUAACGGCUCACCAAGGCGACGAUCCCUAGCUGGUCUGAGAGGAUGACCAGCCACACUGGAACUGAGACACGGUCCAGACUCCUACGGGAGGCAGCAGUGGGGAAUAUUGCACAAUGGGCGCAAGCCUGAUGCAGCCAUGCCGCGUGUAUGAAGAAGGCCUUCGGGUUGUAAAGUACUUUCAGCGAGGAGGAAGGGGG
rnacentral:rRNA from 1 species